AGAGUUUGAUCAUGGCUCAGGACGAACGCUGGCGGCGUGCUUAACACAUGCAAGUCGAACGGUAAGGCCCCUUCGGGGGUACACGAGUGGCGAACGGGUGAGUAACACGUGAGCAACCUGCCCUUGACUCUGGGAUAACAGUUGGAAACAGCUGCUAAUACCGGAUACGACCCUCGAUGACAUCAUCUGGGGUGGAAAGCGCUUAGCGGUCAAGGAUGGGCUCGCGGCCUAUCAGCUUGUUGGUGAGGUAACGGCUCACCAAGGCUUCGACGGGUAGCCGGCCUGAGAGGGCGACCGGCCACACUGGGACUGAGAUACGGCCCAGACUCCUACGGGAGGCAGCAGUGGGGAAUAUUGCACAAUGGGCGCAAGCCUGAUGCAGCAACGCCGCGUGCGGGAUGACGGCCUUCGGGUUGUAAACCGCUUUCAGUUCCGACGAAGCGCAAGUGACGGUAGGAACAGAAGAAGGACCGGCCAACUACGUGCCAGCAGCCGCGGUGAUACGUAGGGUCCGAGCGUUGUCCGGAAUUAUUGGGCGUAAAGGGCUUGUAGGCGGUUUGCUGCGUCGGAAGUGAAAACUCAGGGCUUAACCCUGAGCCUGCUUCCGAUACGGGCAAACUAGAGGGAUGCAGGGGAGAAUGGAAUUCCUGGUGGAGCGGUGGAAUGCGCAGAUAUCAGGAGGAACACCGGUGGCGAAGGCGGUUCUCUGGGCAUUUCCUGACGCUGAGAAGCGAAAGCGUGGGGAGCAAACAGGCUUAGAUACCCUGGUAGUCCACGCCGUAAACGGUGGGCACUAGGUGUGGGGAACAUUCCACGUUCUCCGUGCCGAAGCUAACGCAUUAAGUGCCCCGCCUGGGGAGUACGCCGCAAGGCUAAAACUCAAAGGAAUUGACGGGGCCCGCACAAGCGGCGGAGCAUGCGGAUUAAUUCGAUGCAACGCGAAGAACCC
rnacentral:rRNA from 1 species